rnacentral:rRNA from 1 species
UCUGAGCUGGGGGUGGCCGCAGAGACCAGCGAGAAGCGACUGUUUACUAAAAACACAGGUCCGUGCGAAGCCGUAAGGCGAUGUAUACGGACUGACGCCUGCCCGGUGCUGGAACGUUAAGGGGACCGGUUAGCUCCAUUUCGGUGGGGCGAAGCUGAGAACUUAAGCGCCAGUAAACGGCGGUGGUAACUAUAACCAUCCUAAGGUAGCGAAAUUCCUUGUCGGGUAAGUUCCGACCUGCACGAAUGGCGUAACGACUUCUCGACUGUCUCAACCAUAGGCCCGGUGAAAUUGCACUACGAGUAAAGAUGCUCGUUUCGCGCAGCAGGACGGAAAGACCCCGGGACCUUUACUACAGUUUGAUAUUGGUGUUCGGUUCGGCUUGUGUAGGAUAGCUGGGAGACUGUGAACUCCGGACGCCAGUUCGGGGGGAGUCGUCGUUGAAAUACCAGUCUGGUCGUGCUGGAUGUCUAACCUGGGUCCGUGAUCCGGAUCAGGGACAGUGUCUGAUGGGUAGUUUAACUGGGGCGGUUGCCUCCUAAAGGGUAACGGAGGCGCCCAAAGGUUCCCUCAGCCUGGUUGGCAAUCAGGUGUUGAGUGUAAGUGCACAAGGGAGCUUGACUGUGAGACCGACGGGUCGAGCAGGGACGAAAGUCGGGACUAGUGAUCCGGCGGUGGCUUGUGGAAGCGCCGUCGCUCAACGGAUAAAAGGUACCCCGGGGAUAACAGGCUGAUCUUCCCCAAGAGUCCAUAUCGACGGGAUGGUUUGGCACCUCGAUGUCGGCUCGUCGCAUCCUGGGGCUGGAGUCGGUCCCAAGGGUUGGGCUGUUCGCCCAUUAAAGCGGUACGCGAGCUGGGUUUAGAACGUCGUGAGACAGUUCGGUCCCUAUCCGCUGUGCGCGUAGGAGUCUUGAGAAGGGCUGUCCCUAGUACGAGAGGACCGGGACGGACGAACCUCUGGUGUGCCAGUUGUUCUGCCAAGGGCAUGGCUGGUUGGCUACGUUCGGGAGGGAUAACCGCUGAAAGCAUCUAAGCGGGAAGCCUGCUUCGAGAUGAGGACUCCCACCCACUUGAUGGGGUAAGGCUCCCAGUAGACGACUGGGUUGAUAGGCCGGAUCUGGAAGCACGGUAACGUGUGGAGGUGACCGGUACUAAUAGGCCGAGGGCUUGUCCUCAGUUGCUCGCGUCCACUGUGUU